rnacentral:rRNA from 1 species
GAUGAACGCUGGCGGUAUGCUUAACACAUGCAAGUCGAACGGGCACCCUCGGGAGCCUGUGGCGGACGGGCGAGUAACGCGAGAGAAUUUGCCCAUUGGCGGGGGACAACGGUUGGAUAAGAACGCUCAUAUCCCAUGUGCCGAGAGGACAUAAGACAUUCGCCAAGGGAAGAGCUCGCGUCGGCUUAGCUCGUUCGGGGGGCAAUAGCCCACCAAGGCGACGAACCGUAGCUGGUCUGAGAGGACGACCAGCCACACUGGGACUGAGACACGGCCCAGAGUCCGUCGGGCGGCAGCAGUGAGGAGUUUUCCACAAUAGGCGCUAGGCUAACGGAGCGUGGCGGCGUGAAGGAAGACUGUCUGUGGAUUAUAAACCUCUUUUGACAGGGAAGAAGUACUGACGGUACCUGUAGAAUCAGCAUCGGCUAACUCCGUG